UCUAUCUGGAGAUCACUCCUCUUGGAGCCCUUCCCUGAGCCCAGGACAGGGAUUCAUAAAACUUCAAAGGCUAUGCAGAGCUUCUUUACAGCUUCUCUUCUUGAAACUUUGCAGGUGAUGAUGCUUAUGUGUGCUCCAGAACAUUUAACUUAAGCUGUCACUUGUGCAUACAUCACUACGUAGAAUAGUUCUGGGACUUGUGCACAUGCUUGGCAUUGUACUUUUCUUGUUGGCUGGACUAACUCUCGUUAAUAGUAUCGGUCUUCCUUAGGAAGUUAUUGAUCCAAACAGAAGAAUAUUCUUCUAUUGUUUUGGAGUUUAUCCUUACAUAAGUGAGAAGCUGAUGAUGAGAUUUCUUCAGAACCUUUCAAUCAUCCUAUAAAAUCUCCUGACAAGCAUAUACAGCUGAUUGAUUUUUAAAAAUGAUAUAAAAAUCCUGUAGAGAAGAGAGUAAAUGCCACAACAUUUUCAAAAGAUUCCUGUGGCACUUUAUCAUGUGGCUUUAAAAUUUCAUUUCUUUCUCUGAAUCUCUAUGAGUUUCCUAUAGAUUUUUCUAGAGGUGAGUUGAAAAUGUUUAAUUUUUCUAUGUUAGUGCACUAUAAUACAUAAGCAGAUAUAUCACUAGAUAGUAAACAUUAACACAACUAUUUCAGACUUUGACACACUGCAUUUUCCUGGGCUCUCCCUGAAAAACAGUGUACUUAAGCAACUCCAAACAGAAUUAACCAUAAUUAGUAAUGGUGAUAGAAAAUAUAAGCAGUUUUCUCAUAUGAGACUAUCUCAUCCAUGAGGAACAGCAUACAGCAAACUAUUGAACUGAUGAGACAAAAAGUAGAGGAAACUGUUCAACUGAAUCAAGAGUGUCAUAUUUUGCUCUAUUACUUAGUAGUGGAAUCAGAGAAAAGAAAUACAAUUUUCCAUUCCCCAGAUAGGAUGUCUAGGAUGAAUUAAUAGCAUGACAAUCUGUGAAUGUGAAUUAUUUUACCUGGCAAUCUGUGAAAAUUUACAUGUGCCACGUAUUUUGACAUCAGAGUCCUCUCUGCCAUUAACCUGUGUUUAGUUGCAAAUUUUGCAUGCAGAAGAUGAUCUAUUAAAA
ensembl:lncRNA